rnacentral:tRNA from 1 species
GGUUUGUGGCUCAGUGGUAGAGCACUUGCCUAGCAUGUGUGAGGCACUGGGUUUGACUCUCGGCACCA